rnacentral:rRNA from 1 species
CAGCAGCCACGGUAAUACGGAGGGUGCAAGCGUUAAUCGGAAUUACUGGGCGUAAAGCGUGCGCAGGCGGUUAUAUAAGACAGAUGUGAAAUCCCCGGGCUCAACCUGGGAACUGCAUUUGUGACUGUAUAGCUAGAGUACGGCAGAGGGGGAUGGAAUUCCGCGUGUAGCAGUGAAAUGCGUAGAUAUGCGGAGGAACACCGAUGGCGAAGGCAAUCCCCUGGGCCUGUACUGACGCUCAUGCACGAAAGCGUGGGGAGCAAACAGGAUUAGAUACCCCUGUAGUCCCUGUCUCUUAUAC